rnacentral:rRNA from 1 species
GAUGAACGCUGGCGGCGUGCUUAACACAUGCAAGUCGAACGGAAAGGCCCAAGCUUGCUUGGGUACUCGAGUGGCGAACGGGUGAGUAACACGUGGGUGAUCUGCCCUGCACUUCGGGAUAAGCCUGGGAAACUGGGUCUAAUACCGGAUAGGACCACAUUUUGGAUGGUGUGGUGGAAAGUUUUUCGGUGUGGGAUGAGCUCGCGGCCUAUCAGCUUGUUGGUGGGGUAAUGGCCUACCAAGGCGUCGACGGGUAGCCGGCCUGAGAGGGUGUACGGCCACAUUGGGACUGAGAUACGGCCCAGACUCCUACGGGAGGCAGCAGUGGGGAAUAUUGCACAAUGGGCGCAAGCCUGAUGCAGCGACGCCGCGUGGGGGAUGACGGCCUUUGGGUUGGAAACUCCUUUCGCUAGGGACGAAGCGUUAUGUGACGGUACCUGGAGAAGAAGCACCGGCUAACUACGUG